rnacentral:rRNA from 1 species
ACGUCAAGUCCUCAUGGCCCUUAUGGGCUGGGCUACACACGUGCUACAAUGGCGGUGACAGUGGGAUGCCAGGCCGCGAGGCCGAGCCGAUCCCGAAAAGCCGUCUCAGUUCGGAUCGCGGCCUGCAACUCGGCCGCGUGAAGGCGGAAUCGCUAGUAAUCGCGGAUCAGCAUGCCGCGGUGAAUACGUUCCCGGGCCUU